rnacentral:rRNA from 1 species
AUUGAACGCUGGCGGCAGGCCUAACACAUGCAAGUCGAACGAGUGGCGGACGGGUGAGUAAUGUCUGGGAAACUGCCUGAUGGAGGGGGAUAACUACUGGAAACGGUAGCUAAUACCGCAUACCAUCGGAUGUGCCCAGAUGGGAUUAGCUAGUAGGUGGGGUAACGGCUCACCUAGGCGACGAUCCCUAGCUGGUCUGAGAGGAUGACCAGCCACAUGAGAACUGAACCACGGUCCAGACGCCUACGGGAGGCAGCAGUGGGGAAUAUUGCACAAUGGGCGCAAGCCUGACACAGCCAUGCAGCGUGUAUGAAGAAGGCCUUCGGGUUGUAAAGUACUUGCAGCGGGGAGGCGUUACUCGCAGAAGAAGCACCGGCUAACUCCGUGCCAGCCGCCGCGGUAAUUC